UGCAAGUCGAACGAUGAAGCCCUUCGGGGUGGAUUAGUGGCGAACGGGUGAGUAACACGUGGGCAAUCUGCCCUUCACUCUGGGACAAGCCCUGGAAACGGGGUCUAAUACCGGAUAACACUCCCGGAGGCAUGUCGGGGGGUUGAAAGCUCCGGCGGUGAAGGAUGAGCCCGCGGCCUAUCAGCUUGUUGGUGAGGUAGAAGCUCACCAAGGCGACGACGGGUAGCCGGCCUGAGAGGGCGACCGGCCACACUGGGACUGAGACACGGCCCAAACUCCUACGGGAGGCAGCAGUGGGGAAUAUUGCACAAUGGGCGAAAGCCUGAUGCAGCGACGCCGCGUGAGGGAUGACGGCCUUCGGGUUGUAAACCUCUUUCAGCAGGGAAAAAGCGAAAGUGACGGUACCUGCAGAAAAAGCGCCGGCUAACUACGUGCCAGCAGCCGCGGUAAUACGUAGGGCGCAAGCGUUGUCCGGAAUUAUUGGGCGUAAAGAGCUCGUAGGCGGUCUGUCACGUCGGAUGUGAAAGCCCGGGGCUUAACCCCGGGUCUGCAUUCGAUACGGGCAGACUAGAGUGUGGUAGGGGAGAUCGGAAUUCCUGGUGUAGCGGUGAAAUGCGCAAAUAUCAGGAGGAACACCGGUGGCGAAGGCGGAUCUCUGGGCCAUUACUGACGCUGAGGAGCGAAAGCGUGCGGAGCGAACAGGAUUAGAUACCCUGGUAGU
rnacentral:rRNA from 1 species